rnacentral:rRNA from 1 species
AGCAGCCGCGGUAAUUCCAGCUCCAAUAGCGUAUAUUAAAGUUGUUGCAGUUAAAAAGCUCGUAGUUGAAUUUCGGGGUUCUACCGUUGGUCGGGCUAUCCGGUCUGUACUGAUGUGUAGAAUUUCUACCUUCUGGGGAACCAUCAUGUUAUUAAUUUAGCGUGGUGGGAAACCAGGACCUUUACCUCGAAAAAAUUAGAGUGUUCAAAGCAGGCUUACGUCUGAAUACAUUAGCAUGGAAUAAUAAAAUAGGACGGUGGUCCUGUUUUGUUGGUUUCUGAAUCACCGUAAUGAUUAAUAGGGAUAGUUGGGGGCAUUAGUAUUCAAUUGUCAGAGGUGAAAUUCUUGGAUUUAUUGAAGACUAACUUCUGCGAAAGCAUUUGCCAAGGAUGUUUUCAUUAAUCAAGAACGAAAGUUAGGGAUCGAAGACGAUCAGAUACCGUCGUAGUCUUAACCAUAAACUAUGCCGACUAGGGAUCGGACGAUGUUAACUUUUAUUGACUCGUUCGCGCCUUACGGG